rnacentral:rRNA from 1 species
CCGCGGGAACACCGGCAGCUCUAGUGGUAGCUGUUUUAUUGGGCCUAAAGCGUUCGUAGCCGGUUUAAUAAGUACUCUGGUGAAAUCCUAUAGCGUUAACUGUGGGAAUUGCUGGAGAUACUAUUAGGCUUGAGAUCGGGAGAGGUCAGAGGUACUCCUGGGGUAGGGGUGAAAUCCUGUAAUCCUAGGAGGACCACCUGUGGCGAAGGCGUCUGACUAGAACGAAUCUGACGGUGAGAAACGAAAGCUAGGGGCGCGAACCGGAUUAGAUACCCGGGUAGUCCUAGCCGUAAACUAUGCGGACUUGGUGUGAGGGUGGCUUUGAGCCGUCCUGGUGCCGAAGGGAAGCUGUUAAGUCCGCCGCCUGGGAAGUACGGUCGCAAGACUGAAACUUAAAGGAAUUGGCGGGGGAGCACCACAACGCGUGGAGCCCUGCGGUUUAAUUGGAUUCAACGCCGGAGAUCUCACCAGCGGCGACAGCAGUAUGAUGACCAGGUUGAUGACUUUGUUUGACAAGCUGAGGGGUGGUGCAUGG